rnacentral:rRNA from 1 species
GACGAACCGUGCGAACGUUAUUCGGAAUCACUGGGCUUAAAGCGCGUGUAGGCGGGUCGGCACGUCGGUCGCUGAAAUCCCCCGGCUCAACCGGGGAACGGGCGCCGAUACGACCGACCUGGAGGGGGGUAGGGGGAGCCGGAACUUCCGGUGGAGCGGUGAAAUGCGUUGAGAUCGGAAGGAACGCCCGUGGCGAAAGCGGGCUCCUGGACCCCACCUGACGCUGAGACGCGAAAGCCAGGGGAGCGAACAGG